rnacentral:rRNA from 1 species
GAAUCUUAGACAAUGGGCGCAAGCCUGAUCUAGCCAUGCCGCGUGAGUGACGAAGGCCCUAGGGUCGUAAAGCUCUUUCGGCGGGGAGGAUGAUGACGGUACCCGCAGAAGAAGCCCCGGCUAACUCCGUGCCAGCAGCCGCGGUAAUACGGAGGGGGCUAGCGUUGUUCGGAAUUACUGGGCGUAAAGGGCGCGUAGGCGGUGCGGUAAGUUAGGCGUGAAAGGCCCGGGCUCAACCCGGGAACUGCGCUUAAGACUGCCGCGCUCUGAGUCCGAGAGAGGAUGGCGGAAUUCCCAGUGUAGAGGUGAAAUUCGUAGAUAUUGGGAAGAACACCAGUGGCGAAGGCGGCCAUCUGGCUCGGUACUGACGCUGAGGCGCGAAAGCGUGGGGAGCAAACAGG